UCUUCCUUCAGGUAGACACCAGGAUGA
rnacentral:piRNA from 1 species